rnacentral:rRNA from 1 species
AACGCCGCGUGAGUGAAGAAGGCCUUCGGGUUGUAAAGCUCUUUCGACCAGGGAGAAGGUAAUAAGGGUUAAUACCUCUUGUUAUUGAUGGUACUCGGGAGAAGAAGCACCGGCUAACUUCGUGCCAGCAACUUCGGUGACUGAGCGGGCUGGCAAGGCGCAUA